GAAGUGACUAACGUUACCACCAAAGAUGGAUUUUCCAGUUGAGGACCAGAGCUGCCUGCUGGUUUUUAUCAGAACCAAAGAAGAUGUGAUGCUAGGAAUAUCGAGAAGGCAUUGGAGCACAAAGACAUUGAGCUGCUGGCUGACUUCACAUUUAGCCGAGGGAGAGCCCCUGGAGACAGACCUGGCCUUAAAGACCCCUGCAGCCUCAGGGCCCCUCAAACAUGAGAACAGGCAUGAGGUGCUUCAUCAGCUUGGCGGUUGGUUUGCUGGUAUAUGGCAUAUGGCUCCCUGCAGCUCAGUUCCACAAAUGAUUAUGAGCACGUGGACCUGGUGCACAGACUGCCUGGGGCAGAGUAUCUGCCCUUAA
rnacentral:lncRNA from 1 species